AAAAAGAACAGAUUUAUUGAAUAGAUCCAUCCAAGUUUCAGAUUGGCUUCUCUCUAAAUUGAAUCCCAAAGUUACUAUUUAUUAGAUAAUUCAGCAUUUAUUGGUUGUGUUUAUACUUCUUAAACAACAAAGCAUGCACAAAUAUUAUCUGUAGCUAUUUAAAAUAGAUGAUAUGGAGGCUAAGUAGAAAUGGGCUAUUUAUAGAUAACAGAGCUAUUUGCAAAGAAUUGUAUCAGCUUCUUGAAAAUCAUCAGGGCGUUGUCUAAUAUUUAGAUAAGCAGAAAAACAAGUGAAUGCUCAAUCAAAUCUAGUUUUGUUAUGUGUCAGGCACCGGGAAUCUUUUUUAAUGAAUUAAUAAUUCUUAGAAUAUCUCCUACAUCCAUACUAAUAGGCUGCAUUUUUUCAUUUGUCCUGCUUAUCACAAGUGUGGCUAACUUCAUAUUUGUUUCAAUGAUGGAAUUCUUUCAGAGUGUUUUGGCCUUUUAGUCAAUUUGCUGCAAGUUGUAAUGGAAAGCGCACCUCUCUGGAACUCGGGAGUCUUGGAUCCUACACAUGGUUCUAUGCAUAAAUAGAAAUGAAAUUAGCUUCCUGGAUACUAAGCUAGUAUUAAUCAGGUGAUUCUAAUUAAAAUCACUCUGCUAGCUAA
ensembl:lncRNA novel transcript